rnacentral:tRNA from 1 species
GUCUCGGUAGUGUAAGGGAUAAGAGCAACGGUCCCCGGAAAGGACAAGUACGGGUUCGAAUCCCGUCCGAGACU